GAAGAGCACGGAAGGGCGGUAGGUCUCCAGCGGCGACAAUGGUGACCGUUCGGAAGGAGAUGGUCACAAGUGGUGGUGGUUGGUUCUCGAACGUGGUUCGCUUCUCCCUCUCUCUCAAAAGUGUCGAAUGCCAAAAUUUGAGAAACACAUUUCAAAUUCAAAAUCUGCUUGUUUCUCUCACCAUGCCACAUCAGCGUUCGAUUUUAAAUUCAAUUUCCACAUGGACGAAUCACAUUUGGACAAGUGUCUCUGAUGGGCUAUCGCGGCCC
rnacentral:lncRNA from 1 species